CCGCCCCGUCUGAGAAGUGAGGAGCCCCUCCGCCCGGCUGCCACCCCGUCUGGGAAAUGCUUGAAGGCAGCAUGCUCGUUGAGAGUCAUCACCACUCCCCAAUCUCAAGUACCUAGGGACACAAACACUCUGCCUAGGAAAACCAGAGACCUUUGUUCACUUGUUUGCCUGCUGACCUUCCCUCCGCUGUUGUCCUAUGACCCUGCCAAAUCCCCCUCUGCGAGAAACACCCAAGAAUGAUCAAUAAAAAAAAAUAAAAUAAAAUAAAAAUAAAA
rnacentral:lncRNA from 1 species